AUAGUAAUUGUCGAUGUCUUCGUGACAAGACUUGAGCGUGAUCACUCGAGCGGUGUCAUUCAAUAUACAUCAUUGAAUAGUGCAUUUUACAAUUAUAUAUAUAUAUAUAUAUCUAUAUAUAUAAAUACAUAUAUUAUAACUGGGUAUAUUACAAAACUCCAUUUUAUAUUAAACAUAAAAAGUUAUAUCACAUCUAAUAAAUCGCUCGAGUGUUUGGAAAAUAGAUAAUUCAAAAAAAAAUAAAAAAAGUAACGAUCGCGUCGCGAUUGGUUUACUCGCGGGAUCGUAAAGUUUACUAAUAACAAACAAUUUAUAAAGUUUUUUUUCUUUAAGCUGCAAUUGUUUUUAGGCAACGAGGGUCGUGGAAGAUCCACAAAAACAUAUAUAAAUAACACCAGCUCAGGAUUUAAUAUAAAAUCCACAAGUGCGCACAGCAUCAAAUAUUAAAGUUACCACGACGCUUAUAAAAAGCUGUAGCAUCUUUGCCGUAAUACGAUAUAGUAAAAUACAAUAAAAGAUUGUCCUCAUCAUCAUCAUCAUCGUCAGUUGAGUAACAAGAUUAAGUAAUUGAUGAAAACGUCAGUUUUCCACCGGAAAUAUAUUUAAAAAAUUUGAUUUUUUUAACGACAAAAAAAAUAGUAACGAAAAAAGUUAUCAAGUGCCGCGAUGCCGGCAAACAAUGGAACUUCUUACCGAUCAUUAGAUGAUCUAGGUGAAAAUGUUUAUAAAAGUACGACGAUUGUUGAUCAGAAUCAUCAGACAAUGAGUCAGAGUGUGUUUGACAGUGUAAAAAAAGCCUUCAAUUUUGCUGCACCCAAAGCCGAGCUCAGGAGAAAGGAUCCGCUCAUCGAUGACCGUACGGAAAGCAUUUCUAUUGUUACUAGCACAAUGCCAUCAGAUAGCAUGGAUGAUAUCGAACUAAAAAAUAUCCAACUGCAAUUUCCUGCAUUGAGAUACCUGAGCAAAGAUGAUGGUUCUGUUAGGGAGGAGAGAGUUGAUACAGACAAAGGAAGUUUAUUGGUUGCCGUUCAAGGCAAUCGUGCUAAACCUGCCAUCCUAACUUAUCAUGAUCUAGGCCUUAAUUAUAUCUCGAGCUUCCAGGCAUUCUUUAAUUAUAUUGACAUGCGAGUAUUGCUUGAAAACUUUUGUGUUUAUCAUGUGAAUGCACCAGGUCAAGAGGAAGGAUCACCAACGCUACCUUUCGACUACGUUUAUCCAACGAUGGACGAAUUAGCACAACAGCUGCUGUUUGUGCUGGGGCAUUUUGGACUUAAAUCAGUUAUUGGUUUUGGCGUGGGUGCUGGGGCCAAUAUACUCGCACGGUUCGCUUUAUCUCAUCCCAGCAAAGUCAAUGCAUUGUGUUUAAUAAAUUGCAUCUCAACGCAAGCUGGUUGGAUCGAAUGGGGAUAUCAGAAACUAAAUGUUCGUCAUCUAAGGUCACAGGGUAUGACUCAAGGUGUUCUGGAUUAUCUUAUGUGGCAUCAUUUUGGCCGAGGAACUGAAGAAAGAAAUCAUGAUUUAGCUCAAGUUUAUACCAACUACUUUGAACGAAAAGUCAACCCAAUGAAUCUCGCAUUACUUAUUGACAGCUAUGUGCGACGUACAGAUUUAAAUAUAGCCCGUGAAUUGGAUCCAACUCGCAAAAAGGACGGUUCAACAUUAAGUGUACCCGUAAUCAAUAUCACUGGAGCAUUAAGUCCUCAUGUUGAUGAUACUGUUACGCUUAAUGGCCGUUUGGACCCGACCAAUAGUACAUGGAUGAAAAUAUCUGACUGUGGUAUGGUCCUUGAAGAACAGCCAGGAAAAGUGAGCGAAGCCUUUCGACUAUUUCUUCAAGGUGAAGGAUACGUGGUGAAAAGCUCGCGGAAGCCGUUGACGCCUACAACAUCCGAAGGUAAUUGUAAUUAGGAAUUGAAGCUGCAAAGGAACCGAUCAUUGCCGUUGGCCAAUUUACUGGCCAUUUCUAAUUGUUGAUGGCUCCAUUAUCACCAUUAAAAAUGGCCGAUUAUCGUUUAGCGUCAUUAGAAGGACUCAAUCAUUUUUGUUCGAAAAAAUUCGACUGGCCCACCGCCACUAUUCACAUCACCGAAAAUCCCAUAUCAGAAGCAGUAGUUUGUUAAGUUAAAACUGUGAAGCGUUCAUCUUUUUAAUUAACAAAACAAAACAAAAAAAAAAAAAACAAAACCAAUAAUACGCUUUGCAAUUAUUAUUUAAUUAACAAACCAAAACAAUAAACUAAAACAAAAUUGUUAUCACUCGUUAAUCAAGGAGGAGUUUUUAAUCAACGUAAACAAUUAAAUUAUUUAAAUAAUUAAUUUAAAUCCAGGAUUGGUUUCGUCUGUCCACAACGAUCGUUAAUUAUCAAACCAUCGAGUAAAAAAAAAAACGAUAUCACGAAUUUAAAAAAUAUCAAUUGGCCUAGGAAAAAAAAACAGAACGAACCAUAUCUGUAGAACAAGUACAAUUCAUAUCUCGAAUCGAAAAACAAAAUUGUUCUCAUUUAUUAAUUAUUAAUUAAUUGAUUAAUAAGUUAAAUAGUUAGUUAGUUAGUUAGUUAGUUAGUUAGUUAUUAUUAAUUAUUAUUAUUUAUAAAAAAAGUUAGAAGAUAAAUUAGUUUGCGCAUUAUUUGCACUUGUUGCACUCCUGCCUAAAAAAACUAAAGACGGUAAUAAAAAUAGUUUAGAAAAAUAAAAUCCCGUUAAAAGUAAGUAUACAAAAUUAUAAAAAAAAAUAAAAAUGGUUUGGUAGGUCUCCAUUGGGUUGCCCGAUCCCCCCAAGCCUCUAGAGUGAUAUAAUAAGACGUGCCUGCAUUUAAAUACGAAUUCUUAUAUAUCUUAACAAAACGAAAAAUCACAAAAAAACUAUUUAAUAAUUAUUUUAUUUUGUUAUUUUGUACUUAUAUAUUUUUAUUAAAACAAAAUAUUUAAAUCCGAUAAUAAUAAUUUUUUUUAAAAAUUAUUUUCUAAAAUUAUUAUUAUUACUGUUAUUGUUACUGUUAUAAUUAAUUUAAACGCUCAUCCUCUAAUUGCGCUGACAUGAAUGCUGAAACAUGAUGGGUUUAGUCGCUGAACAAUAUUACAAAUGUGCAUACGUGUUUGAUCUGAAUUGUAAAAUGAUAUUUUAAAACUGUUGACAAUGCAUUAAACGAGCUAAGUGUUUAGAUAAUACAACAAAAGUAAUGUUAGUUAUAUAUGUAUAUAUAUUAUAAUAAUAUAUAUAUGUGUAUAUGAAUAAAUAUAUGUAAUUGUUUCAUCAUAAAAUGUUUUACACAGUAACCAAAUAAAGUAAUUAAAUAAUAAAUAUAAAUAUAAUGUUUUAAAUUUUAAAAAUUAACUAUAAAUAAUAAUAAUACAUGAUUUUGAAGUUGAAAGACUAAUUAAUAAUUUUGG